rnacentral:rRNA from 1 species
CCCUUAGAUGUUCUGGGCGGCCCGCGCACUACAAUGGCGUGUGCAGCGAGUGCCGAAGUAGAGUUUUCCGAGGUAUUCUUGCAAUGCUCGUUUUGAUGGGGAUAGACCCUUGCAACUGUUGGUUUUGAACGAGGAAUUCCUUGUAAGCAUGGUUUAUCAUCCGACGCUGAAUGCGUCCCUGCCCUUUGUACACACCGCCCGUCGCUCCUACCGAUGAGUCGUCCGGUGAAGUUCGUAGACCUCGUGAUCGCGGAUCACUGGGGAAGCAAAAUGAACCUCGCGGUUUAGAGGAAGGAGAAGUCGUAACA